rnacentral:rRNA from 1 species
CUAAGAAUAUUCCGCAAUGGGCGAAAGCCUGACGGAGCGACGCCGCGUGGAUGAUGAAGGCCGGAAGGUUGUAAAGUCCUUUUAUGACAGAGGAAUAACCGGGGCAGGGAAUGGCACCGGGGUGACUGUAGGUCAUGAAUAAGCACCGGCUAACUCCGUGCCAGCAGCCGCGGUAAUACGGAGGGUGCAAGCGUUAAUCGGAAUAACUGGGCGUAAAGGGCAUGCAGGCGGUUAUACAAGUAGGAUGUGAAAGCCUGGGGCUCAACCUCAGAACUGCAUUCUAAACUGUGUGACUAGAGUAUUGCAGGGGGAGACGGAAUUUCAGGUGUAGCGGUGGAAUGCGUAGAUAUCUGAAAGAACACCAAAGGCGAAGGCAGUCUCCUGGGCAAAUACUGACGCUCAUAUGCGAAAGCGUGGGUAGCAAACAGGAUUAGAUACCCUGGUAGU